rnacentral:sRNA from 1 species
GCCCCCUGACCUAAUAGUCGCUGGCACAAGCUGCGCCCGGAGACGUGGGAGCGUUCUCUUGUUUUCCGAGUGCGCAGACUCAUCGAGUCACAGUUUAUGCUUUUGUGACGCGGGAACACAACAGAUUUGAGAAGCCUCGGAUUAAGGAAUAAUUUAUGAAGCCCUGUUGACUACCGUGGAGAGAUCAUAAUUUGGGGUUCAAGAUUCCAGGAAUAUUUAAAUGUUUCUAGUUGGUUCAUUAAGGUAUAGAAAAUUUGAAUGAAGCCAAACUUGAAGCUACAGAAAGUUUGAAUGAAGCCAAAAUGUGAAAACUUUACUCCACAAGGAAGAAUCCAUGCCAGUGAUAAGCUUAAUGAAAUGUGUGGGAACACCUUUAUAUUUUGCACAAAUCAUAUGAAACAGAGAAAUUUCACUGGAAAGAAAUGCAGAGAAUAUAAGGAAUGUGGCAGAGACUUUGGUCAUAACUUUCAGUUAACUCAGUAUCAAGUGGCGGUUAGCUGGAGCCAGGGAAGCGUGGAGGGUGGGUUCCAAUCGAGUCAAGAAAAGCCUGGGGUGUCCUGAACUCUGCCUGCUUCCCCAGCCCUGCCAGUUUCCAGAGAAGGCGCCUGAGAAGGAGAAACGAAUCGCUGCUGCUCUUCUAAAAGCCGGUUCUGUCUCUGGUGUCUGUGGA